UACGUAUGGUGCAAGCGUUAUCCGGAUUUACUGGGUGUAAAGGGUGCGUAGGUGGUUAGACAAGUCUGAAGUGAAAAUCCGGGGCUCAACCCCGGAACUGCUUUGGAAACUGCCAAACUAGAGUACAGGAGAGGUAAGUGGAAUUCCUAGUGUAGCGGUGAAAUGCGUAGAUAUUAGGAGGAACACCAGUGGCGAAGGCGACUUACUGGACUGACACUGACACUGAGGCACGAAAGCGUGGGGAGCAAACA
rnacentral:rRNA from 1 species